rnacentral:rRNA from 1 species
UCGCCCUUAGAGUUUGAUCCUGGCUCAGGACGAACGCUGGCGGCGUGCUUAACACAUGCAAGUCGAACGGUGAAGGGAUCAGCUUGCUGGUUCUGGAUGAGUGGCGAACGGGUGAGUAACACGUGAGUAACCUGCCCCCUUCUUCUGGAUAACCGCAUGAAAGUGUGGCUAAUACGGGAUAUUCUGGGUCUGUCGCAUGAUGGGUCUGGGAAAGAUAUUGUUUCGGUGGGGGAUGGGCUCGCGGCCUAUCAGCUUGUUGGUGGGGUGAUGGCCUACCAAGGCGGUGACGGGUAGCCGGCCUGAGAGGGUGGACGGUCACACUGGGACUGAGACACGGCCCAGACUCCUA